rnacentral:rRNA from 1 species
UACGAAGGGGGCUAGCGUUGCUCGGAAUCACUGGGCGUAAAGGGUGCGUAGGCGGGUCUUUAAGUCAGGGGUGAAAUCCUGGAGCUCAACUCCAGAACCGCCUUUGAUACUGAAGAUCUUGAGUUCGGGAGAGGUGAGUGGAACUGCGAGUGUAGAGGUGAAAUUCGUAGAUACUCGCAAGAACACCAGUGGCGAAGGCGGCGAUCUGGGAAGAUACUGACGCUGAGGUGCGAAAGCGUGGGGAGCAAACAGG